rnacentral:misc_RNA from 1 species
UCCGAGUUGACCCCGGCAGUCUCCCAUGAGUCCCCACCAUCCCGAAGGACGUGCUGGCAACAUGGAACGAGGGUUGCGCUCGUUGCGGGACUUAACCCAACAUCUCACGACACGAGCUGACGACAGCCAUGCACCACCUGUACACCAGUAUCAAAGAGACCCCCAUCUCUGGGGGCUUCCGGUGUAUGUCAAACCCAGGUAAGGUUCUUCGCGUUGCAUCGAAUUAAUCCGCAUGCUCCGCCGCUUGUGCAGGCCCCCGUCAAUUUCUUUGAGUUUUAACCUUGCGGCCGUACUCCCCAGGCGGAGAACUUAAUGCGUUAGCUUCGGCACGGGGGGAGUCGACACCCCCCACACCUAGUGCCCAUCGUUUACGGCGUGGACUAC